rnacentral:rRNA from 1 species
AUUGAACGCUGGCGGCAGGCCUAACACAUGCCAGUCGAACGGUAACAGGAAGCAGCUUGCUGCUUUGCUGACGAGUGGCGGACGGGUGAGUAAUGUCUGGGAAACUGCCUGAUGGAGGGGGAUAACUACUGGAAACGGUAGCUAAUACCGCAUAACGUCGCAAGACCAAAGAGGGGGACCUUAGGGCCUCUUGCCAUCGGAUGUGCCCAGAUGGGAUUAGCUAGUAGGUGGGGUAACGGCUCACCUAGGCGACGAUCCCUAGCUGGUCUGAGAGGAUGACCAGCCACACUGGAACUGAGACACGGUCCAGACUCCUACGGGAGGCAGCAGUGGGGAAUAUUGCACAAUGGGCGCAAGCCUGAUGCAGCCAUGCCGCGUGUAUGAAGAAGGCCUUCGGGUUGUAAAGUACUUUCAGCGGGGAGGAAGGGAGUAAAGUUAAUACCUGUGCUCAUUGACGUUACCCGCAGAAGAAGCACCGGCUAACUCCGUG